AGAUGUUCCACUUCCAGCUCUUUGAGUUUCUCCAUGGCUCCCCCACCCCACUCUCCAUCCCAUCCUCCCCUGGGCUGAGCUGACAGCUGUCAGGCUAAGAGGAGUGACAGGUGCUUUUGUGAUUAAUCACUGCAGACCACACACCAAGGAGAAGGGAAUCGGGGCGAACAGAGGGGAGGACUGGAAGGGCCCCCCCAGCCUUCUCUUGGUGGGAGUUUUCCAGGGUGGGCAUCCUCUCUGGUGUUCUCUUUGUUGCCCUGUACAAGCCUGGUUACAAGCCUGGCAUUAGUGUUUGCAAGGGAGUCCAUGGGGCUGUCCGCUUUUGAUGGGGAGAUAAGAGUUCACCUCUUUGGCCAGGUGCAGUGGCUCAUGCCUGUAAUCCCAACACUUUGGGAGACCAAGGCUGGAUUAUCACUUGAGCCCAGGAGUUCGAGACCAGCCUGGGCAACAUAGCAAGAGCCUCGUCUCUACAAAAAAUAAGAAAAAAUUAGUCAGACAUGGUGGCACUCACCUGUAGUCCUAACUACUUCUAAGGCUGAGGCAAGAGGAUUGCUUGAGCCUGGGAGGUCGAGGCUGCAGUGAACUGUGAUUGCACCACUGCACUCCAGCCUGGGUAACAGAGUGAGACCCUGUCUCAAAAAAAAAGAAUUCACCUCCUGGUGCCUCAGUUUCCUCAUCUCUAAAAUGGAGACAGUAAUAAUUCCUACCUCAGAUGGCUGGGAAGACCCAAUGAGUUAAUACAUGUAGAGCAGUUAGGACAGUCACUGGUGUGUUGUAAGUACUAUAAGCACAGCUACUGCCAUUUUUCAUUCAAUCUAAGCUGUCAUGGUUUGGACACACCAUGACUUUAUGUAUGUCUAAGAAAAAAAAAACACUGCUGGAAAUAUAAUGUUUGUUGCUUGUAAGGCACUUCCUAGUUUCAGAAAUGUUAAAAUUGUGGGGAAAAUAUGCUUCUUAGAAAGAAGAAAAAUGGCAUUAUUCUCAUUCUUAUUGCUCUCUAACUGAAGCACUUAGCCCCCCACCGGCAGCGCAGCAAGUGCUGAAUAAACAUUUGUUGAACAAAUGGAUGACAGGCCAGCACAGGUUGGAGGAAGGCAAAGGGAGCCCAGCCCCUCUACCUCACACUGGCUCCUGACUCCCUCACCUGGAGCCUCCAAGGACAACAGUUUUUCCAUCUCUACCCCUUCCCCUUUGUCCAAACUCCAGCACCCGGCACAGCUCCCAAGGGGUUACUUGGGUAGACUGGCUAAUGGCCCCUUCCCCACUCCUACCCAUCCAGUGCUCCGCCCAGAUAAAACACACCUUCUCUGUGGGCCCCUCAGGAGUGACUGGUCACAGGGAAGAGCAGUUAGAAAGAAGGA
rnacentral:lncRNA from 10 species